CUAAUACAUGCAAGUCGAGCGAUGAGGCUCCUUCGGGAGUACAUCAGCGGCGAACGGGUGAGUAACACGUGGGUGACUUGCCCCGAAGAUGGGGAUAACCUCUGGAAACGGGGGCUAAUACCCAAUGUGCUCGGUGAUUCGGUUCAUCGAGUAAAGCUCCGGCGCUUCGGGAGAGGCCUGCGGCCCAUCAGCUAGUUGGUAGGGUAACGGCCUACCAAGGCAGAGACGGGUAGGGGGCGUGAGAGCGCGGACCCCCACACUGGCACUGAGAUACGGGCCAGACUCCUACGGGAGGCAGCAGUAAGGGAUAUUGCGCAAUGGACGAAAGUCAGACGCAGCGACGCCGCGUGGGCGAUGAAGGCCUUCGGGUUGUAAAGCCCUUUUAUGGGGGAAGAGAAAAAGGACGGUACCCCAGGAAUAAGCCCCGGCUAACUACGUGCCAGCAGCCGCGGUAAAACGUAGGGGACAAGCGUUAUCCGGAUUCACUGGGCGUAAAGAGCGUUGAGGCGGUUCCGUAAGUUGGGCGUGAAAGCUCCGGGCUUAACUCGGAGAUGUCGUUCAAUACUGCGGGGCUUGAGGACAGCAGAGGAAGGUGGAAUUCCCGGUGUAGUGGUGAAAUGCGUAGAUAUCGGGAGGAACACCCGUGGCGAAGGCGGCCUUCUGGGCUGUUCCUGACGCUGAAGGCGAAAGCUAGGGGAGCGGACGGGAUUAGAUACCCCGGUAGUCCUAGCUGUAAACGAUGGAUGCUGGGUGUGGGGGGUGUAAAUUCCCUCUGUGCCGAAGCAAACGCGUUAAGCAUUCCGCCUGGGGACUACGGCCGCAAGGCUAAAUCAGACGAAUUGACGGGGGCCCGCACAAGCAGCGGAGCGUGUUGGUUUAAUUCGAUGCUACACGAAGAACCU
rnacentral:rRNA from 1 species